ACCCGCUGAAUUUAAGCAUAUAAGUAAGCGGAGGAUAAGAAACUAAAUAGGAUUCCCUCAGUAAUGGCGAAUGAACAGGGAUAAGCUCAACAUGGAAAUCGUGGCCUCUGGCCUUGAAUUGUAAUCUCAAGAUGUGCUGCUAACGGGGGCGCAGGUGUAAGCCUCUUGGAAAAGAGCAUCAACGAGGGUGAGAAUCCUGUUUGUCACCUGCAGUCCUCCGUGUACGGCGUACACUCUACGAGUCACGUUCCUCGGGAUUGGAGCGCAAACUGGGUGGUAAAUUUCAUCUCAAGCUAAAUAUGGGUUCGAAACCGAUAGCAAACAAGUACCAUGAGGGAAAGAUGAAAAGGACUUUGAAAAGAGAGUUAAAAGUGCCUGAACUUGCUGAAAGGAAAGCGGAUGGAACCAGUCUUGCUUGGCGAGAUUGUUGCGUGCCACAGUGAUUCACCUCGGUUUCAGCGCAAGCGUUGCUGUGGCGUUUGAUCUGGGCGCACGUGAUGCUUCUUGCCUUGUUUGUCAUCGUCUGUUUGGGGGUGAGGAUACCUCUCGGGACAUGACAGCUUGCCCCUGGGUGAGCGAACGUGCCUUGCAGAACUCACGUCCAAACUGAUAUGAUGACUGAAUGGUUCUAUUCGACCCGUCUUGAAACACGGACCAAGGAGUCUAACAUAUGUGCGAGUUCUUGGGUGGAGAAACCUACGUGCGCAAUGAAAGUGAGUACUGAGACAUUAGCAUCAGCAGCCGCCCAAUCGAUUGGGAGAGGUUUGAGCAUGAGCAUAUCUGUUAGGACCCGAAAGAUGGUGAACUAUGCCUGAGAAGGGUGAAGUCUGGGGAAACUCAGAUGGAGGCUCGUAGCGAUACUGACGUGCAAAUCGUUCGUCAUACUUGGGUAUAGGGGCGAAAGACUAAUCGAACCAUCUAGUAGCUGGUUCCCUCCGAAGUUUCCCUCAGGAUAGCUGGAGUUGAGCAGUUUUAUCAGGUAAAGCGAAUGAUUAGAGGAAUCGGGGGCGUGUUGUCCUCGACCUAUUCUCAAACUUUAAAUGGGUAAGCUCCAGUUGUUACUUUGUUGAACUUCUGGGAUAAAUUGCAACUCUAAGUGGGCCAUUUUUGGUAAGCAGAACUGGUGAUGAGGGAUGAACCUAACGUUGGGAUAAGGUGCUCAACUGCUCGCUCAUCAGAUACCAUAAAGGGUGUUGGUUCAUUCUAACAGCAGGACGGUGGUCAUGGAAGUCGAAAUCCGCUAAGGAGUGUGUAACAACUCACCUGCCGAAUGGACUAGCCCCGAAAAUGGAUGGCGCUUAAGCGGGUGACCGAUACCCAACCAUUGCUGCAAUUGUGCGGCAGCAAUGAGUAGGAGGGCAUGGGGGCUUGUAAUGAAGCUUGUGGCGUAAGCCUGGGUGAAAUGGCUCCUAGUGCAGAUCUUGGUGGUAGUAGC
rnacentral:rRNA from 1 species